rnacentral:rRNA from 1 species
CGAGAGGGACAUGGGGAAGCUUGCUUCCUAUGAAAUCGAGUGGGCAAACGGUGAGUAAACGCGUAAACAACCUGCCCUUCGGGAUGGGGAUAACAGCCGGAAACGGCUGCUAAUACCGAAUACGAUCUUUUCGUCGCAUGACGGAAAAGAAGAAAAAGGAUGGCCUCUAUACAAAGCUAUCGCCGAAGGAGGGGUUUGCGUCUGAUUAGCUGGUUGGAGGGUAACGGCCCAACAAGGCGACGAUCAGUAGCCGGUCUGAGAGGAUGAACGGCCACAUUGGGACUGAGACACGGCCCAGACUCCUACGGGAGGCAGCAGUGGGGAAUCUUCCGCAAUGGACGAAAGUCUGACGGAGCAACGCCGCGUGAGUGAAGAAGGUCUUCGGAUUGUAAAGCUCUGUUAUACGGGACGAAAAAGACGGAUGCCAACAGUAUCCGUCCGUGACGGUACCGUAAGAGAAAGCCACGGCUAACUACGUGCCAGCAGCCGCGGUAAAU